GGUUAGGGUUAAGGGAAGGGAGGGGUUAGUUAAAAGGGUUACGGUUAGCUAACUUGCUAAGUAGCUGUAAAGUAGAUAAAAAAUGAGUAAGUCCUGUAGUUGAAAAGUUUCUAAUUAGCUAAAAUUGUCUAUGAUGAGAAUCAAACUUGAAACCUUUGCGUUGCUAGACGUUUGCAUAAGACACGGCAUAGUCAACAUAGCUAAUGGAACUAAUACACUAGUGAACCCGCUACAAUCAUGCAUUACAGCGUAAAGCAAGCCGUUUAGCUGUUACACCGGCGCACCGGUGGCAAUUCAUUAUAUAAAUUGCCUUGACUUGGAAGAGUUCCAGUGUUGGAUAGCCUCAUCCAGCUAGCUAACAUAAAUAGCAUUCCUCUCAGUUUGAGCCGAUUGUUUGAGUGGGCUAAAUUAGCUAGCUGCAGAAGCUAGCUAAGUAAGUGAAAGUGAAAAAGAAGAAAAUUAAAUAUAGCCAACUCUCUCUCUCAUUUGUACAACUAUUGCCUUUCUCUUUCUUUGUGUCAACUACUCAGCACAUUUUAUGCACUGCGGUGCUAGCUAGCUGUAGCUUAUGCAGAAGCUAGCUAAGUAAGUGAAAGUGAAAAAGAAGAAAAUUAAAUAUAGCCAACUCUCUCUCUCAUUUGUACAACUAUUGCCUUUCUCUUUCUUUGUGUCAACUACUCAGCACAUUUUAUGCACUGCGGUGCUAGCUAGCUGUAGCUUAUGCUUUCAGUACUAAAUUAAUUCUCUGAUCCUUUGAUUGGGUGGAAUACAUGUCAGUUCAUGCUGCAAAAGCUCUGAUAGGUUGAAGGAUGUCCUCCGGAAGUCUUCAGAAUUACUGUGUAAGUCUAUGGAAGGGGGUGAGACCAUGAGCCUCCUAGGUUUUGUAUUGAAGUCAAUGUACCCAGAGGAGGAUGGAAAAUAGAUGUCUUCCGGCUAAACCAUGGUGCUACCCCAGAGACUGGUGUUGAGGCUACUGUAUACCUUCAUAGUCUUAUAACUUUUUUAAUGUUUCACUAUUUGUAUUUUUCUGAAAUUCACUGAGUAGGAUGGUCCUCCCCUUCCUCCUCUGAUGAGCCUCAACUGACUUUAAGAAACCCAUUAGUCUACUUGGAGUAACACCCUUGUUGGAAUCCACACAAGCUCUAGGCUGUAGGUUGGUCCUCUCCCAGUUUCUGUUUAGUCCAGGCUGUAGGUUGGUCCUCUCCCAGUUUCUGGUUAGUCUAGGCUGUAGGUUGGUCCUCUCCCAGUUUCUGGUUAGUCUAGGCUGUAGGUUGGUCCUCUCCCAGUUUCUGGUUAGUCCAGGCUGUAGGUUGGUCCUCUCCCAGUUUCUGGUUAGUCCAGGCUGUAGGUUGGUCCUCUCCCAGUUUCUGGUUAGUCCAGGCUGUAGGUUGGUCCUCUCCCAGUUUCUGGUUAGUCCAGGCUGUAGGUUGGUCCUCUCCCAGUUUCUGGUUAGUCCAGGCUGUAGGUUGGUCCUCUCCCAGUUUCUGGUUAGUCCAGGCUGUAGGUUGGUCCUCUCCCAGUUUCUGGUUAGUCCAGGCUGUAGGUUGGUCCUCUCCCAGUUUCUGGUUAGUCCAGGCUGUAGGUUGGUCCUCUCCCAGUUUCUGGUUAGUCCAGGCUGUAGGUUGGUCCUCUCCCAGUUUCUGGUUAGUCCAGGCUGUAGGUUGGUCCUCUCCCAGUUUCUGGUUAGUCCAGGCUGUAGGUUGGUCCUCUCCCAGUUUCUGGUUAGUCCAGGCUGUAGGUUGGUCCUCUCCCAGU